AUGCAUGGAAUUCACAAUUACAUCAUUAAAAAGUCAUACAAAAGUCCACAUUUCUGCAAAAAGACAAAAGUACAUAAAUGUUCCAUUCUCAUUACAUCAUUCAUGAUACAUCAGCAUACACACCCUGCAACAAAGUUUUCAUGUUUGAAAAACUUCUACAACACCACUUCUAACAAACUUUUGCACCCAUACAUCACUCACACAUUUCAUACAACACUCACACAAUUUGCAUUCAAUUCUAACAACCUCACACACUCACCAAUCCCAACCCUAAUUUGA